AAAUUGAAGAGUUUGAUCAUGGCUCAGAUUGAACGCUGGCGGCAGGCCUAACACAUGCAAGUCGAACGGUAACAGGAAGCAGCUUGCUGUUUCGCUGACGAGUGGCGGACGGGUGAGUAAUGUCUGGGAAACUGCCUGAUGGAGGGGGAUAACUACUGGAAACGGUAGCUAAUACCGCAUAACGUCGCAAGACCAAAGAGGGGGACCCUCGGGCCUCUUGUCAUCGGAUGUGCCCAGAUGGGAUUAGCUUGUUGGUGGGGUAA
rnacentral:rRNA from 1 species